rnacentral:rRNA from 1 species
UACGUAGGUGACCAGCGUUGUCCGGAUUUACUGGGCGUAAAGAGCGCGUAGGCGGUCGUUCAAGUCGAGUGUGAAAGCCCCCGGCUCAACUGGGGAGGGUCAUUCGAUACUGAUCGACUUGAAGGCAGGAGAGGGAAGUGGAAUUCCCGGUGUAGUGGUGAAAUGCGUAGAUAUCGGGAGGAACACCAGUGGCGAAGGCGACUUCCUGGCCUGUUCUUGACGCUGAGGCGCGAAAGCUAGGGGAGCAAACGGG